CGACCGGCAAACGGGUGCGGAACACGUACACAACUUACCCAAAACUGGUGAAUAGCCCUCCGAAAGGAGGAUUAAUACACCGUAACAUAUAGAGAAGGCAUCUUUUUUAUAUUAUAGCUCCGGCGGUUUUGGAUGGGUGUGCGCCUGAUUAGGUAGUUGGCGGGGUAACGGCCCACCAAGCCUACGAUCAGUAACUGGUGUGAGAGCACGACCAGUCACACGGGCACUGAGACACGGGCCCG
rnacentral:rRNA from 1 species